AGCUCCCUGAAAGGCACAGCCAAUCACAUUGGCCAUAUUUGUCACAUGAGUUUGCACUAAACCAUCCAGCUGUAAACUCAGAUGAAAACAACAAGCUGAUUGUUUAGUCGGUGAGGCUGAGAGAGCUGGUGGGGUAUCAGCCAUGGGUCGAAAGCUUGAUCUGACAGGACUGACAGACAACGAGGCGGAGCACGUGCUGCAGGUGGUGCAGAGGGACAUGAAGCUGCGCAAGACGGAGGAGGAGAG